AGGUAGAGAGUGUCAUGAGAGGCUAAAUAAGGGAAGCUAGUCUUGGGAGGUAAGGAGCACAGGGGAGGAUUUCUCUCAAGAAGUGAUGAUCAAGGUGAAAUUUGAAAACUAGGCAAAGCUCAGGGUGGGGAGUUCUAGGUAAGGGAACAGUGUGAGUGAACACCUGGGAUCAAAUACUAGGCAGGCAGGUAGGCCAGUGUGGCUAAAGUAUAGGAAGAAAGGGAGAGUGAACAUAAUCUUUGAUGAUGCUGGAGAGGUCAGCUGUGGACAGACCUUGUAGUCCAUGAUGAGAGAUUUAUUCUUUAUGCUAAAAACAAUGGAAAAUCAUGGAAGGAUUUUGAGCAGGGUAGGUGAAUGGAAAGCAGGUGGACAUGAUCAUCAAACAGUAUGUCUAUAAAGCUAGAGCAGAAUGCGAUGGAAUGAGAACACAUCUGAGAUGCAACAGUUGCUGGAGAAGAGAAAGAUCUAUUUGCCAGCUUAUAAAAUGUUUUUGAGACUUGGAAGAUGGACUGGAGAUUGCAUAUUACAGGAAUGUGAAUUAGCCACUAAGAAUAGCUUUGGACAUCUUUCCCAACCCCACGUCAUGAUUUUGUACUAAGAAUACAUUACUGCAUUUAUUUUUCUAAUAUUUUAUUUAAAAAUCUGGAGUCUGUGGUUAAGAGGAGAGGAUCUGAAACUAGACCGUCUGGGUUCACUUUGGGGACUAUAGCAUGACCUGUCUGUGUGACCUUGGGAGGCUGCUACUCUCAACCGAGGUGGAAGACUCAUCAGACCAUGGAAUCACAGUCAACCCUGCUAAGGUGCAGGCGCACUUACAGGAAGACCACUGCGUUGACUAAUCUAAUGUCCUCUGGAUAAUUAACCAAAUGUAUAUUGAUGAAGAAAUAUUUCUUAAAAGAGGCUCAGCUCUUGUCCUUGGGAUUUUCCUUCAAGCCACUGACACUCUGAAUAUGUUGAUGGCCACACACAAGCAAUAAUAAGUAUGUCCAUCGGCUGCCUGGCUUCCCUGAACACCUGACUUCAAAAAUGUUUAAGUGUGAGACAAACACAACAACAAUUGUGUCUUACA